ACAGCUUUGCAUCACUGUGAGUCUGAAAAGGGAGGAGGGCUUCCUGAAGAAGAAGUGUGAAAAGGCUUGAAUUUCCAGAGCUCUGCAGUUCCUAUUGUUGCACAGGUCUUGGCUUGGGGUAGGGCAACCACCUUCUCAAAAUGGAAAGGGAGACCAGCAAACUCACUUUGCAUAAGCUCAGCUAUCCUCAGAGUGAACGGUGAGGGAACGACAGACACCGACUGUCUCACGUUGUAUGUGGAUCCUGGCUCUGUGCUGCACGAGGUGGAUGGUCCUCACAGACUAAAGCCCUCAAAUUACAGUGAGAUGGAAAGGAUCAGCUGUCCUGGAGCAAGGCAGAGUGUACCAGUCCAGUCCUGUACCAGACAAAACUGCAGGGUAACGCUGUGAGCUGAUGUGAUGUGCAUAUCAUGAAGCCUCAAAUGUACGGCGCACAGGAUGGGGAGAGCUGCAGUGAUGAAUGUGUCAUGCAAAAUUCCAAGGCACUAAUUGAAGGUGAUUUCAACAGAAUAUUCAAUUAAUGUUCUCUUCAUUGCAGACAGUUUGAAAAAGGGGCUCUUGUCUCUUGAGGAUGUGUGUUACCGUGCAACAAACAGAUGAAAAUGAACUGUUUUAUGGCCCUCUAACUGAAAGUCGAUGCACCAGUUUUAAUAAAAUCUUUGUGGUGGGGAACUUGAUGCCUUGGGGCCCAGUAAUGACCUGAGUUGCAUCCCUCCAUCCUCCAUCCCCACCUGCAUCCCGCCCACGAAGACAGACACUGAAUGUUGCCAUUUAAGGCUUCUCAGAGGGCCUCUUUGGAGUUAGUGGGUGAUCUCAGCCUGGUUCUUGGGAGGCAGGAGUUCACUGCACUUCAUUGUCAUCCUCAGCAGAGAUUCUGGGGCAUUAAUUUUCCAUGGAGAAUGAAGCAAUGGGCUCUCCAGGCCAGAGCUGAGGCAUGUGGGCAGAGCAGAAGAAGAAAUGACUCCCUGUUCUUGGAGCCAAGUAUGUAUCUCAUUGGAAGCUUUCACUGCCAUAAAAGCCCCACAUUUUUUCAAACAAGGUCUAUGAUGCAUAGGAGAGUCCGUUGGUUUCCAUCAUCUUCCUUCAUGUUAGUGCAGCCGUAUCAUGCUGGAGAACAGAUGGCAUUGGUCCCCUUUGGGAGGAAAGGAUGGUAAUCGUGAACUUUUUUGCUCAUCUCAAUUUUGUCUUUUCCUCGAACGUCUUUCCAUGUAAUGUCUGUGUGUGAAUGCUAUUGUAUUGCUAUAGCAGGCCAGAUUUUGAAUCACUAAGGGAAGCUGCACUCCUCUCAGGGUCUUGUUGCACAUUAAUUUUAGGUGGCUCCUGGAGCUCUUAACCCUUGGGUUGUCAUGCCCAUACAUUAACACCUGAAACUAGUUUCAAGCACACUUUAGAUGGCUUAGUUAUGCCACUCCAGGGCAGGAUUAUCUGGGAUCUGUUACUCAGCUUAUGUUCCAUUAAUGCAGGGGCAGGCAAAAGAUGGCCCAUGGGCCACGUCUGGCCUGCCGGGCCAUUUUGUCUGGCUCGUAGGGCACCUCAAAAAAACAAUUAUUACCAGCCUGCAGCUGCCCCUCUAAAAGGCAGUGGGAAGCAGGCUUUCAGAGGUCAUGCACCAUUGGACUGGACAGGCUCUGUGCCUCCAUCUCCCUGGGGCUCCCAUGCUGCAGCUGGGAGCCUUACAUGGAGGCACCAAGCAUGAUGGGAUGCAACUGGACAGCUGGUGAGUGCGGAGGGGAGCUACUGCUUCAGUUCCCAGAACCGCACGUGGCAGCAUGGAGCCCUCCCGGCCUGAUGGUGCAUUUGGGUGUGGGGAGGGUGGAUGAGCCCUCCCUGCCACGUGCCCCCACCCCAUAGCGCACAACCCCAGUCAUGAGCCCUUGCAGCACUCAUGGCCUGUGGGAGGCAGAGCCCCCUGGCAGUGCGCCACUCCAGCUGAGUCCCAGGAGCUGCAUGUGGUGGUACGGAGCCAGCUCAGUCUGACCCAGCCUGCUGGCACAUGCCUUCACACCAAACUGGGCUGGCCUUGUACCAGCAUGUGGGACUUCUGGCACUGCAGGUGGAAGCUGCAUACCAUUGAGCCAGACCAGCUCCAUGCCUCCAUGUGGGUCUUCCAGCACUCCCCUGGGGAGCUGCAUGUGGAGGCAUGGAGCUGGCCUGGCCCAGCCCAGUGGCGCAUACUCCUGGCUCCAGUGGUGAGUGCCUCCUGUGCUGGCAUAGAGCCAAACCAGCUGCCCCAUGGGGCACAGCUCCAGGAAGGAGAGCCAAGAGCUGCAUGUGGUGGUAUGGAGCCCACCCGGUCUGAUGGUGCAUGGACUGGGAGCUGUGGGGAGUUGUAUGUCAUUGGGCUGGGAUGGCUCCACCUCCAUGUGAGGCUCCCUUCUGGAGUGCUGGAAGCCCCACAUGAAGGCACAGAGCUGGCCUUAUAGGUUCAUAGACAUUAAGGCUGGAAGGGACCUCAGAAGAUCACCUGUCCAGCAGGAUGGCAGGUGGCUCCCACCUGUAGUGCCGGGAGCCCCACAUACUGGCAUGGAACCAGCCUGGUUUGAAGGCUUAUGCCAGUGGGCUGGGCUGGGUCAGCUCUGUGCCACCAUGUGCAGCUCCUGGGACUUGGCUGGAGCCAUGCAUUGCCAGGGGGAUCUGCCUGCCAUGGGCCAUGAGCGCCCUAAGUGCCCACUACCUGCUGCUGCCACUGGUGCAGGGGGCUGUGCGAUAUGGGCAUGGGGGGGGCCACCACACACCCACAAACUAUGCAUCCACCCAGACACACUCGCACAACCCCCUCAUCCAGCCACACCCCAUAUACAAGAAUAAGACUUCAUUUUGAGCUAUUGUGCAAUCACCUGUAUAUACAAUAGGCAAACACACAUCAAGCAAGACUAGUUUUUUAAAAAUAAAAUUA